rnacentral:rRNA from 1 species
AGCGAACGCUGGCGGCAGGCUUAACACAUGCAAGUCGAACGAGCUCUUCGGAGCUAGUGGCAGACGGGUGAGUAACGCGUGGGAACGUGCCUUUCGGUUCGGGAUAACUCAGGGAAACUUGAAUUAAUACCGGAUACGCCCUUCGGGGGAAAGAUUUAUCGCCGAAAGAUCGGCCCGCGUCUGAUUAGCUAGUUGGUGAGGUAAGAGCUCACCAAGGCGACGAUCAGUAGCUGGUCUGAGAGGAUGAUCAGCCACACUGGGACUGAGACACGGUCCAGACUCCUACGGGAGGCAGCAGUGGGGAAUUUUGGACAAUGGGCGCAAGCCUGAUCCAGCCAUUCCGCGUGCAGGAUGAAGGCCUUCGGGUUGUAAACUGCUUUUGUACGGAACGAAACGGUCUGCCCUAAUACGGCGGGCUAAUGACGGUACCGUAAGAAUAAGCACCGGCUAACUACGUG